AGCAGCCGCGGUAAUUCCAGCUCCAAUAGCGUAUAUUAAAGUUGUUGCAGUUAAAAGCUCGUAGUUGAAUUUCGGGGUCAGUAGGUCGGUCGUGCCACUGGUAUGAACUGGUUUUACUGAUUCCUCCCUCUUGAAGAACUGUAAUGCCAUUAAUUUGGUGUUGCAGGGAAUCAGGACUGUUACUUUGAAAAAAUUAGAGUGUUUAAAGCAGGCUUUAGCUUGAAUACAUUAGCAUGGAAUAAUGAAAUAGGACGUUUGAUCCUAUUUUGUUGGUUUCUAGGAUUGACGUAAUGAUUAAUAGGGAUAGUUGGGGGCAUUAGUAUUCAAUUGUCAGAGGUGAAAUUCUUGGAUUUAUUGAAGACUAACUACUGCGAAAGCAUUUUGCCAAGGAUGUUUUCAUUAAUCAAGAACGAAAGUUAGGGGAUCGAAGACGAUCAGAUACCGUCGUAGUCUUAACCAUAAACUAUGCCGACUAGGGAUCGGAUGAUGUUAAUUUUUUUCAAUGACUCAUUCGGCGCCU
rnacentral:rRNA from 1 species